UACGUAGGGUGCGAGCGUUGUCCGGAAUUAUUGGGCGUAAAGGGCUCGUAGGCGGUUUGUCGCGUCGGGAGUGAAAACACUGGGCUUAACUCAGUGCUUGCUUCCGAUACGGGCAGACUAGAGGUAUUCAGGGGAGAACGGAAUUCCUGGUGUAGCGGUGAAAUGCGCAGAUAUCAGGAGGAACACCCGUGGCUAAGGCGGCUCUCUAGUACGGUACUGACGCUGAGACGCGAAAGCGUGGGGAGCGAACAGG
rnacentral:rRNA from 1 species